UGGAGCUGCUGACGCACGUAAUCGUACAUAAGAGUUCGUUCGUUCGUUCGUACGUGGCUCUAUUUCUCCAUGUCUUACAUCCGCUCUGUAAUUUAUAAUUUAUUAUACGUUAUACA
rnacentral:ribozyme from 16 species